AUUAGAUACCCUAUUAUUGAAAAAAAAAAGAAACAAAAAACUUAAUUAGUUAUAGAUAAAUACUUAAAAUUUAAAAAAUUUGGCGGUAAUUUAAUCUUUUCAGAGGAACCUGUUUUUGAAUUGAUAAACCACGAAGAAUCUUACUUACCUUUGUUGAUUAAUAUCAGCUUGUAUACCGUCAUUAGCAAAUAAUUUCAAGAGAAAAAAUUGUUUAAAAUAAAAGAAAUUAGAAAAAUUAGAUCAUGGUGCAGCUAAUAGGUAAGGUGGAAUGGGUUACAAUAAAUCGUUUUACUAAUGGAUUGGUAAAAGAAAUUUUGCUGUGAAGGAGGAUUUGAUUGUAUUUAAAAUUUAAUAAGGUUUAAAGAUAUGAGCUCUAAAUUAUGUACAUAUCGCCCGUCGCU
rnacentral:rRNA from 1 species